rnacentral:rRNA from 1 species
GAUGAACGCUGGCGGCGUGCCUAAUACAUGCAAGUCGAGCGAACGGACGAGAAGCUUGCUUUUCUGAUGUUAGCGGCGGACGGGUGAGUAACACGUGGAUAACCUACCUAUAAUACUGGGAUAACUUCGGGAAACCGGAGCUAAUACCGGAUAAUAUUUUGAACCGCAUGGUUCAAAAGUGAAAGACGGUCUUGCUGUCACUUAUAGAUGUAUCCGCGCUGCAUUAGCUAGUUGGUAAGGUAACGGCUUACCAAGGCAACGAUGCGUAGCCGACCUGAGAGGGUGAUCGGCCACACUGGAACUGAGACACGGUCCAGACUCCUACGGGAGGCAGCAGUAGGGAAUCUUCCGCAAUGGGCGAAAGCCUGACGGAGCAACGCCGCGUGAGUGAUGAAGGUCUUCGGAUCGUAAAACUCUGUUAUUAGGGAAGAACAUAUGUGUAAGUAACUGUGCACAUCUUGACGGUACCUAAUCAGAAAGCCACGGCUAACUACGUG